UACGAAGGGUGCAAGCGUUACUCGGAAUUACUGGGCGUAAAGCGUGCGUAGGUGGUUUGUUAAGUCUGAUGUGAAAGCCCUGGGCUCAACCUGGGAACGGCAUUGGAAACUGGCUUACUAGAGUGCGGUAGAGGGGUGUGGAAUUCCCGGUGUAGCAGUGAAAUGCGUAGAUAUCGGGAGGAACACCGGUGGCGAAGGCGACACCCUGGACCAGCACUGACACUGAGGCACGAAAGCGUGGGGAGCAAACAGG
rnacentral:rRNA from 1 species